rnacentral:tRNA from 1 species
AUGAUCAUCAUGUUUAUUGCGUGGUUUAUAAGUAUUGUUAUUGCACACUCAAGGCCCUUUAGCUCAGUGGUUAGAG